AGCGGCGGACGGGUGAGUAACGCGUGGGAACCUGCCCUAUACAGGGGGAUAACAGUUAGAAAUGACUGCUAAUACCGCAUAAGCGCACGGAGCCGCAUGGCGCUGAGUGAAAAACGAUAGUGGUAUAGGAGGGACCCGCGUCUGAUUAGGUAGUUGGUGGGGUAACGGCCCACCAAGCCGACGAUCAGUAGCCGACCUGAGAGGGUGACCGGCCACAUUGGGACUGAGACACGGCCCAAACUCCUACGGGAGGCAGCAG
rnacentral:rRNA from 1 species